AGACUGUGUGAAGGACUCAGCUUUCUAGCAGGUUGUUAUGUGCUUGAGUUAAUGCACCAAACAGAAGGGCAAGCUUCGCUAGGCUCCGCUAUGAGGACUGUCCUCUUAAGGCCUCAUGGAUCAGAGACCUUCUAAGGGUGUAUGUCUAGAAGUGGAAUUCCUGGGUUGUAAGGAAUAUAAGUGCAAGGUUCAGAGCUUACCUAUCCAGGCUACCUGAAAUGGCUGAGAAAUAUCAAGUAUCCAGCAAACCUGUUGACAAGUUACAACUCCUAGACGUUAAACUCCAUUUGUCACUGCUGGAUCCCCAAUGCCCAGAAGAGGAGGUAGGCUCAAGCAGGUUCUGAAGACACAACUGGAUUGCAUGAGCAGAUACACAAAUCUUCAGCAUCAUGUGGGACAACUUCCUCUGAAAAUAACCUAAAAACUGAGCAACUUCUACACAUCAGGCAUACAAGAGAAGGCCCACAGUGAGGCUCAUUGAAUGAGAAGGUGGCAUUUUCUUCUCUUCAUCACACAAGCUUGAAAACCACCAGGCUGCAUGGUCCCCAAAGCUUCUCCUUCAUCCUGCCCCUAACAGCAUGCUUCUCACAAGGACAGUAUGUCUGGGUCAAUAUCUGGUUGCAACUCCUCCGGGUGCCUCUGGUUCACGGUCUCUCUUGAAGUCUCAGUCAAACUCUUCACUGUGGCUGCAGUCUCAUCUGAAGGCUGUCCUGGAGGGAAGGAGCCCACUUACAAGCUCACUCUUGUGGUUGCUGAGUUGUUGGCUGGCCUCGUGCUCUUGCCCUGUGGGUCUCUUCACAGGGAUGUUUCAUGAUGUGGCAGCUGGUUUUCAUCAGGACAGAUUGGUUCUCAUCAAGGAAUUGGUCAUGAAAAGCUUUCUGCAGUGUAAAGGACCCUCAGCGUUCACAGCGUGCUUCCCGCACUCUUGCCUCUUCAGCAGAGCUCCAAGACCCAUAGGAAAGCUCCUGAGGAAGGAAUCCUU
rnacentral:lncRNA from 1 species